GAUAAUGGUGGUCCGGGCGGGGCAGCUUUCGGGCUGGCCGGUAUUCUGUGGAGCCGGUAUUCCUACCCCCGUCCGGGUCACCACCCAU
rfam:Klebsiella pneumoniae IS43, WGS project CBWK01000000 data, contig: c197